AUGUUGUUUGGUUACUUUAUGAAAGUCAACGUCAAGACCAGGUAAUUGAAAUUUGGAUACCUAUUAAUAACACGCACCUACAAUCCUGGCUAAUACCUUCGACGAAAGAGACAAGAUUUGUGAAAAGAAAAAGUGAGCAAGCCAAGCAUGCAUUGCAAAUUGCAAGGUCCUAACAUGCCUCGUGCCUUAUGAUUGCGAGUCAGAAAUCUAAUCAAUUACAUACCUUUAGAACGACGAUUAGUUUUGUGAGGAAGAAUGUUGUCAACAAUCAAUGAAAUGAUAGAAAGAAUUGACAAUUGAGCAAUUUCGAGAACAUAAUCUACUAAAUGAGAGAGUUACCGUUACUCAUGAGUCCACGAGAAGCUAGCUACCGUUACCGUUGACGCCGAGAGGCCGAGAUAGACGGGUGGUAGAUGAGGCGGCCAUCUUUAAAAAUUCAAAUAGCCGUGACGUAGAAUCACUGCUAUCAGCCAAUGAGAGUGAAGCUUCCGCAGCCGUAGCUCAAGUACGUCACUACGUUUGUGUUUGCUAUUUGCUUCCGCCGGGCGCCGAAUUAUUAUUAUUGUCACUGUGAGAAUGAUGAAUGGAUGUAAAGUAAAAAGUUUGGUGUUUCUCAAUACAUUAAUUUUGCAACUCUUCACACAACAUGCAAAGAAGAACUUGAUCAGCAGAUUCAUCAGAUAUUGUGCUCCUUUUGCAGUGUUCCGUUUUGUCAAAAUCUGUGGCUGUGAGCAUUGAUAUCUGCGGUGACUGGUCUCAUAAUCUAGGCAUAGUGGAAGCUGACCUGUAGUGUACUGCGUUCGACUCCGACUCCGUCUGUCUCCUGUCAUCGUGGCAAUCUUUAAAUUAUUUGGAAAAGCUGUGGACAGGAGGUUAACGGCGAUUUUUCAACAUCAAUGAUCUACCAAAUUUAUGGAAUUACACUUUGUGAUUGAAUCUCACAUUAGUCCACUUCACACACCGAAUGUGGACUCCACUGAGCAAUACCUUCUAAGUGUUUAAUUUUUUUCUCAAGUGCUUUGAUUGUAAUAUUUUUGUAAAUUUACUUUUUUCUCAAAAUGAGCGAUUCAAUAUUGGUUUAAACGUCGCUCAUGAGAAGUGGUGGUGAAAUAUAUCUAAUAAAACAGUGAUGACCGUGGUGCGUGAAGUGAACAUCUCUCCUUGGAACAUACUUAUUCUGAAGAAUGUUGAGUUUUGUGCUGAAGAUACCAUCGCCUUUCGUACCUUUUGUGCCAUCAUCUAACCUGGGAAGAACUGAAGUGGGUGAGUUAUUUAUUCUAUGAAUUUCCCAGAUUAGUAUCUUGCCAAAGGAAGAGUAAAGAUUGCAUAUGAAUCUUAUAGUCGGCCGUAAGGAUCCUUAAGGGCAGCUAUGAGUCAACCUCCAAGUUUUGUUCGAUUUUUUUCUUCCCAUGUACACUGGCAAAAAAAUUUUCACCAUAUACCCAAAAUCCUUUCCAAUGACUAGCUAUUAAAUAUUUACCGAAUUCUGGGUAACAUCU
rnacentral:lncRNA from 1 species